rnacentral:tRNA from 1 species
GGGGUUGUGGCUCAGUGGUAGAGUGCUUGCCUAGCAUGUGCAAGGCACUGGGUUCAAUUCUCAGCACCUCA